rnacentral:rRNA from 1 species
GACGAACGCUGGCGGCGUGCUUAACACAUGCAAGUCGAACGGGUCUGCCCUGUUUUUUGCGGGGUGGGUCAGUGGCGAACGGGUGAGUAACACGUGAGUAACCUGCCCCUCACUUCUGGAUAACCGCUUGAAAGGGUGGCUAAUACGGGGUGUUCUGGCUGUGCCGCAUGGUGUGGCUGGGAAAGAUUCACUUUUGUGGUGUUUUGGUGGGGGAUGGGCUCGCGGCCUAUCAGCUUGUUGGUGGGGUGAUGGCCUGCCAAGGCUUUGACGGGUAGCCGGCCUGAGAGGGUGGGCGGUCACACUGGGACGGAGAUACGGCCCAGACUCCUGCGGGAGGCAGCAGUGGGGGGUAUUGCACAAUGGGCGGAAGCCUGAUGCAGCGACGUCGCGUGAGGGAUGGAGGCCUUCGGGUUGUGAACCUCUUUCGCCGGUGAAGAAGGUCCUGCUCUUUGGGGUGGGGUUGACGGUAGCCGGGUUAUGAAGCGCCGGCUAACUACGUG